GAGUUUGAUCCUGGCUCAGGAUGAACGCUAGCGGCAGGCCUAAUACAUGCAAGUCGAGCGGUAACAUUGGUGCUUGCACAGAUGACGAGUGGCGCACGGGUGCGUAACGCGUAUGCAAUCUACCUUUUACUAGAGUAUAGCCCAGAGAAAUUUGGAUUAAUCCUCUAUAAUAUCUUUUAAUUUCAUGAUUUUVAGAUUAAAGUUUUAACGGUAAAAGAUGAGCAUGCGUCCUAUUAGUUUGUAGGUGAGGUAACGGCUCACCUAGACUACGAUAGGUAGGGGCCCUGAGAGGGGGAUCCCCCACACUGGUACUGAGACACGGACCAGACUCCUACGGGAGGCAGCAGUAAGGAAUAUUGGACAAUGGACGAAAGUCUGAUCCAGCCAUGCCGCGUGCAGGAUGAAAGCCCUACGGGUUGUAAACUGCUUUUAUACAGGAAGAAACACUCCGACGUGUCGAGCUUGACGGUACUGUAAGAAUAAGGAUCGGCUAACUCCGUGCCAGCAGCCGCGGUAAUACGGAGGAUCCAAGCGUUAUCCGGAAUCAUUGGGUUUAAAGGGUCCGCAGCUGUUUUUUAAGUCAGAGGUGAAAUCCUACAGCUCAACUGUAGAACUGCCUUUGAUACUGAAAAACUUGAGUUAUUGUGAAGUGGUUAGAAUGUGUGGUGUAGCGGUGAAAUGCAUAGAUAUCACACAGAAUACCGAUUGCGAGGCAGAUCACUAACAAUAUACUGACGCUCAUGGACGAAAGCGUGGGGAGCGAACAGGAUUAGAUACCCUGGUAGUCCACGCCGUAAACGAUGGAUACUAGCUGUUCGUCUAACAUUGGUUAGAUGAGUGGCUAAGCGAAAGUGAUAAGUAUCCCACCUGGKGAGUUCCGUCGCAA
rnacentral:rRNA from 1 species